rnacentral:rRNA from 1 species
GCAUUAUUUGACGUUUACCUACAGAAGAAGACACCGGCUAACUCCGUGCCAGCAGCCGCGGUAAUACGGAGGGGUGCGAGCGUUAAUCGGAAUUACUGGGCGUAAAGACGCAUGCAGGCGGCCUCGUUAAGUCAGAUGUGAAAGACCCGGGGCGUUAACCUCCGGAAUUGCAUUUGUAAACUGGCAGGCUAGAGUCUUGUAGAGGGGGGUAGGAAGUUUCAGGUGUAGCGGUGAAAUAGCGUAGAGAUCUGAAGGAAUACCAGUGGCGAAGGCGGCCCCCCUCGGACAAAGACUGACGCUCAGAUGCGAAAGCGUGGGGAGCAAACAGGAUUAGAUACCCCUGGUAG